UAAAUACCCCAAGCUUCACAUAUUUGCUCACUUUCUCUUUUCUUUCUCUCUCUACACUCACUCAGUCUCUCAAAAUUCUCUCUUCUCUCCCUCAAGAACACGGUUGUGUUCAUACGAACCCUGAUUCCGGCGGCGGUGCCACCGCGCCGACCCCCCAAAUUACCCAAAAAGACCCCAAAUCACUUUCUAAACACUUCUCUAACAGUUCUAAAACACGAAAUCAAAACAAGAAGAAGAUUCAGAAUAAAAAACCUUAUAUCCGCCUCUGUCUUUACUUUCUUGCUGCUUCUCCUUCUUUUUGUUUCUUGUUCUAUUCUUUCUUUUUUAUUUUAUAAAAAAAUAUGGUGAUGGUUGUCUGGUGUUUUUGGUGAUGAUGGUGAUGAAUGAGUUGAAGGAGGUGAUUAGGAGUGGAAGUGAAGUGGUGUUUAUGGUUGUAAUAUAGUUUAUUGAUGAUUAUCGGUGAUAGAAAAAAAAGGAGAAGUAGUGAUGUGUUUUUUUCUCUAAUCUUUACAUUUUGCUACUGAUUUUUUUUGUUUGUUCUCUAUGUGUCCUUGUGAAUGAAACUGAAGGCUUGUU
rnacentral:lncRNA from 1 species